AGGUCUAACAAGUCAGUUUCAUUUAAUACUCAGCAUGUUUAAGCAGAAAUGUCAGAGUUCAGUUCCGCUGGCUAAUGAUGUAAAUCAGGAAUCACUGAAGCCAGACACCUAUUCUGAUCUUAUACCCAAUUUGUGUUAGGAUUACUCACUGAAAUAAAUCAGUUCUUUACCAGGAAUCCAUCCUACUGACAAAUGAGCAGUUCAUAAACUUUGCUCAGACAAGGAAAUCAUGCCAUGCAGUGGCUUCCAUUAAUUUCUCACAGAUAUGGGCUCACAUCGCUAGUGAAGCUGUAGUGAGGUAAACCAGGGUGUGGAUUUCUGGAAGCUCAACCACUUCACCCAUGGAUGACCUUGUUCUACAGCCAUCAUAGCUUUUUCCUGGAGUUCAAACAAUUAUUCACAGCCUCGGAAGAGGGCAUCUGCAGUCACUUGGAGGAUUUGGUCUCCUGCAUGGCCAUAUGAGAAACUUCAGUCAACUUGUGGGCACAAACAUAAUUUCAGAAUUUCAUGUGCAUAUAUCUAUGUUAUCAUAUUCUUUCACUGUGAAAGCAGUAACUACUGUAUGUGGUAAAAUGAUAUAUUGUUGUCCGCAAAAUGUCUUUGGCAACAGGAUGUUCACUAGCCUUGGAAUUUUGCCUUGUAUAAAUAUUUUUAAUCUACUCCAUGUAGGCAUAUUUUGGCUGCAAAAUAAAGGGUUUUGGAGAUUAAUAUAUCCAAGCUCAGUUCUGCUUAUACAUGCUACAUACAUCAAGGUUUUAU